UCGAUGAAACGAAUGAUGCUUUGUGUAAACCAGGUUGUGGAUAAGUUAUGGUUAUAGAUGGGAGAUGGAACACUGACGUAGUCCCUUAACGGGCUAGCUGAAAGGAGAUAGAGAAAGUUUGCAGAUGGAUGAUGAUGGGUUCCAAUAGAUCUAAUUGCAUGAUUAAUUUUUGGAGAAAUCUUAUAAUUCAAAUUACUUUUUUUGUGUGCUUUCUUAGUAUUAAAUUAUUAUUAUUUUAAUUUUUAUACUCUUAAAUUUUUAUUGUACACAGG
rnacentral:lncRNA from 1 species